rnacentral:rRNA from 1 species
CAGUCGAGCGAGCGGAACCACAGAUUUACUUCGGUAAUGACGUUGGGAAAGCGAGCGGCGGAUGGGUGAGUAACACGUGGGGAACCUGCCCCUAUGUCUGGGAUACCAUUUGGAAACAGGUGCUAAUACCGGAUAAUAAAGCAGAUCGCAUGAUCAGCUUUUGAAAGGCGGCGUAAGCUGUCGCUAAGGGAUGGCCCCGCGGUGCAUCAGCUAGUUGGUAAGGUAACGGCUUACCAAGGCGACGAUGCAUAGCCGAGUUGAGAGACUGAUCGGCCACAUUGGGACUGAGACACGGCCCAAACUCCUACGGGAGGCAGCAGUAGGGAAUCUUCCACAAUGGACGCAAGUCUGAUGGAGCAACGCCGCGUGAGUGAAGAAGGUUUUCGGAUCGUAAAGCUCUGUUGUUGGUGAAGAAGGAUAGAGGUAGUAACUGGCCUUUAUUUGACGGUAAUCAACCAGAAAGCCACGGCUAACUACGUGCCAGCAGCCGCGGUAAUACGUAGGUGGCAAGCGUUGUCCGGAUUUAUUGGGCGUAAAGCGAGCGCAGGCGGAAAAAUAAGUCUAAUGUGAAAGCCCUCGGCUUAACCGAGGAACUGCAUCGGAAACUGUUUUUCUUGAGUGCAGAAGAGGAGAGUGGAACUCCAUGUGUAGCGGUGGAAUGCGUAGAUAUAUGGAAGAACACCAGUGGCGAAGGCGGCUCUCUGGUCUGCAACUGACGCUGAGGCUCGAAAGCAUGGGUAGCGAACAGGAUUAGAUACCCUGGUAGUCCAUGCCGUAAACGAUGAGUG